rnacentral:rRNA from 1 species
AAGUCGUAACAAGGUCUCCGUUGGUGAACCAGCGGAGGGAUCAUUACCGAAUUUACGUUCAAACCCACUGUGAACCAUACCUCUUGCCGCGUUGUCUCGGCGGGAGGCGUGAGGCCCUAGCGGCCCCGCGUCCCCGCCGGCAGCGCCAAACUCUAAACUGCAAAGCGUACUGCAUGCUCUGAUUUACAAAAAAAACAAGUUAAAACUUUCAACAACGGAUCUCUUGGUUCUGGCAUCGAUGAAGAACGCAGCGAAAUGCGAUAAGUAAUGUGAAUUGCAGAAUUCAGUGAACCAUCGAAUCUUUGAACGCACAUUGCGCCCGGCAGUAAUCUGCCGGGCAUGCCUGUCCGAGCGUCAUUUCUGCCCUCGAGCGCUGCUGGCUUGCCAGCAGCUGCCCGGUGUUGGGGCGCUACGGUUCAGGGCCUCGUGCCCUGUCCGUAGGCCCCGAAAUGAAGUGGCGGUCCCGCCGCGGCGCCCCCUGCGUAGUAGUAUUUCAACUCGCAUCGGGANCCGGUGGUGACCAGCCGUCAAACCCAACUUUCUAAUAGUUUGACCUCGGAUCAGGUAGGGUUACCCGCUGAACUUAAGCAUAUCAAUAAGCGGAGGAAAAGAAACCAACAGGGAUUGCCCCAGUAACGGCGAGUGAAGCGGCAAAAGCUCAAAUUUGAAAUCUGGUCCCCUUUGGGGGCCCGAGUUGUAAUUUGAAGAGGAUGAUUUNGGCGAGGCGCCUUCCGAGUGCCCUGGAACGGGACGCCACAGAGGGUGAGAGCCCCGUAUGGUCGGACGCCGAGCCUAUGUAAAUCUCCUUCUACGAGUCGAGUAGUUUGGGAAUGCUGCUCAAAAUGGGAGGUAAACCCCUUCUAAAGCUAAAUACCGGCCAGAGACCGAUAGCGCACAAGUAGAGUGAUCGAAAGAUGAAAAGCACUUUGAAAAGAGAGUUAAACAGCACGUGAAAUUGUUGAAAGGGAAGCGCUUGCGACCAGACUUGCGCCCGUCGGAUCAACCGUCCCCCGUGGGCGGCGCACUCCGGCGGGCUCAGGCCAGCAUCAGUUUUCCGGGGGGGAGAAAGGCGGUUGGAAUGUAGCUCUUCGGAGUGUUAUAGACUUCCGCGUAAUACCCCCUGGGGGACUGAGGACCGCACUUUAUGCAAGGAUGCUGGCGUAAUGGUCGUCAGCGACC